GAUGAACGCUAGCUACAGGCUUAACACAUGCAAGUCGAGGGGCAUCAGGAAGAAAGCUUGCUUUUCUUUCGCCGGCGACCGGCGCACGGGUGAGUAACACGUAUCCAACCUGCCCUUUACUCGGGGAUAGCCUUUCGAAAGAAAGAUUAAUACCCGAUAGCAUAAUGAUUCCGCAUGGUUUCAUUAUUAAAGGAUUCCGGUAAAGGAUGGGGAUGCGUUCCAUUAGGUUGUUGGUGAGGUAACGGCCCACCAAGCCUUCGAUGGAUAGGGGUUCUGAAAGGAAGGUCCCCCACAUUGGAACUGAGACACGGUCCAAACUCCUACGGGAGGCAGCAGUGAGGAAUAUUGGUCAAUGGGCGCUAGCCUGAACCAGCCAAGUAGCGUGAAGGAUGAAGGCUCUAUGGGUCGUAAACUUCUUUUAUAUAAGAAUAAAGUGCAGUAUGUAUACUGUUUUGUAUGUAUUAUAUGAAUAAGGAUCGGCUAACUCCGUGCCAGCAGCCGCGGUAAUACGGAGGAUCCGAGCGUUAUCCGGAUUUAUUGGGUUUAAAGGGAGCGUAGGUGGACUGGUAAGUCAGUUGUGAAAGUUUGCGGCUCAACCGUAAAAUUGCAGUUGAUACUGUCAGUCUUGAGUACAGUAGAGGUGGGCGGAAUUCGUGGUGUAGCGGUGAAAUGCUUAGAUAUCACGAAGAACUCCGAUUGCGAAGGCAGCUCACUGGACUGCAACUGACACUGAUGCUCGAAAGUGUGGGUAUCAAACAGGAUUAGAUACCCUGGUAGUCCACACAGUAAACGAUGAAUACUCGCUGUUUGCGAUAUACAGUAAGCGGCCAAGCGAAAGCAUUAAGUAUUCCACCUGGGGAGUACGCCGGCAACGGUGAAACUCAAAGGAAUUGACGGGGGCCCGCACAAGCGGAGGAACAUGUGGUUUAAUUCGAUGAUACGCGAGGAACCUUACCCGGGCUUAAAUUGCAGUGGAAUGAUGUGGAAACAUGUCAGUGAGCAAUCACCGCUGUGAAGGUGCUGCAUGGUUGUCGUCAGCUCGUGCCGUGAGGUGUCGGCUUAAGUGCCAUAACGAGCGCAACCCUUAUCUUCAGUUACUAACAGGUCAUGCUGAGGACUCUGGAGAGACUGCCGUCGUAAGAUGUGAGGAAGGUGGGGAUGACGUCAAAUCAGCACGGCCCUUACGUCCGGGGCUACACACGUGUUACAAUGGGGGGUACAGAAGGCAGCUAGCGGGUGACCGUAUGCUAAUCCCAAAAUCCUCUCUCAGUUCGGAUCGAAGUCUGCAACCCGACUUCGUGAAGCUGGAUUCGCUAGUAAUCGCGCAUCAGCCACGGCGCGGUGAAUACGUUCCCGGGCCU
rnacentral:rRNA from 1 species